CCUACGGGAGGCAGCAGUAGGGAAUCUUCCACAAUGGGCGAAAGCCUGAUGGAGCAACGCCGCGUGAGUGAUGAAGGCCUUCGGGUUGUAAAACUCUGUCAUUCGGGACGAACCGGAGUCUGAGGAAAUGCAGACUCUCUGACGGUACCGGAGGAGGAAGCCCCGGCUAACUACGUGCCAGCAGCCGCGGUAAUACGUAGGGGGCAAGCGUUGUCCGGAUUCACUGGGCGUAAAGCGCGCGCAGGCGGUGAUGUAAGUCUGAGGUGAAAACCCGAAGCUCAACUUCGGGACUGCCUUGGAUACUGCGUCACUUGAGGAUAGGAGAGGCAAGGGGAAUUCCACGUGUAGCGGUGAAAUGCGUAGAGAUGUGGAGGAACACCUGUGGCGAAGGCGCUUUGCUGGCCUAUUUCUGACGCUGAGGCGCGAAAGCGUGGGGAGCAAACAGGAUUAGAUACCCGUGGUAGUCCACGCUGUAAACGAUGAGUGCUAGGUGUAGGUGGGCUCAUACCCAUCUGUGCCGAAGCUAACGCAUUAAGCACUCCGCCUGGGGAGUACGGUCGCGAGACUGAAACUCAAAGGAUUAGACGG
rnacentral:rRNA from 1 species